UUUUGGACAAUGGGCGCAAGCCUGAUCCAGCAAUGCCGCGUGCAGGAUGAAGGCCUUCGGGUUGUAAACUGCUUUUGUACGGAACGAAACGGCGAACUCUAAUACAGUUUGCUAAUGACGGUACCGUAAGAAUAAGCACCGGCUGACUACGUGCCAGCAGCCGCGGUAAUACGUAGGGUGCAAGCGUUAAUCGGAAUUACUGGGCGUAAAGCGUGCGCAGGCGGUUAUGUAAGACAGAUGUGAAAUCCCCGGGCUUAACCUGGGAACUGCAUUUGUGACUGCAUAGCUAGAGUACGGUAGAGGGGGAUGGAAUUCCGCGUGUAGCAGUGAAAUGCGUAGAUAUGCGGAGGAACACCGAUGGCGAAGGCAAUCCCCUGAGCCUGUACUGACGCUCAUGCACGAGG
rnacentral:rRNA from 1 species